GACCUGAGCCGAAGUCAGUUGCUUAACUGACUGAGCUACCCAGGCGCCCCGAAGCUUUAUUAUUAUUAAGUGCUUAGACAAAAAUCUCAUACCCUCAACACUCAUUAGUAUACUUGGGGACAGAAAGAAAGUAGUAAAAUUAAGACCUAGUGAAAGAUGCUUUUUACUUUUUGCAUGUGGGGAGCAUAGAAUUUCAAUCCAUUUCUAAAAAAGGCCUCUCUAAUCUUUCUCCCUAAUUAUAGUAAGAGAAGAAAGACAAAUAGCAACUUUAAUUUUUUUUUAAAUUUUGUUCUUGGUGUUCACAUCUCUAAAUCUACCAAACGUGGUCAUUUUAUGAGGAAAACAAAUUAUACAUAGCAUAUUUUGAAUGUUCUCCGACUAACCUAAAACUGUGUCUUUUAGUCUGCAGAAGGUGCUAAAACAACAAAAGCAACCAGGUUAAUUUCCCUUCUCCCCCUGCAUUUUUUUGGUUUUGUUUUUAAUUUUCUGGCUUCAAAAUCCCUGACUCUGUUCUUUUUCUAGGAGGGGGAAGCCUAUUGGAACCACUGAGCCAUCCAAAGCAGAGACAAUUUUUAAAGAACCACACUUUCAUUCCACGAAAAUGUAGGCGGUAACUCAGGCUGGUCUAAGUGCUCAGAAGAAAAAGUCCGUAGGGGAGCCUAUGGAACAGAUAAGGAUAGAUUGUAAUUAGCACAGUAAUUGUAAUUAGCAGAGCAAUUGUAAUUAGCACAGUGAUUGUUUGUUCAUAAUGGGUGCUUCCAAAGUGACUCCAGGCAGUUUGUUCUCUUAAGUAUCUUCUGCCGUUUCCCUGGUGAUCUUGUUUACACUGCUAAUGUACUAAUGUGCUUAGCAAUCUCUUUUAUAAAUAAACACUCCAAAGGUACAAGCCAGCCCAGUCCCUGGCCAAGCAUUAUGCAUCCUUAAUUAAUGGAGUCCACAGUGAUGGAAUUUUACUAUAUUUGCAUUAUGCUAAGGCAACAUCGGGUGUAUCACUCUCUGAAGAAGUCACACCUCAGAAGUCAUUUGUUGUUUUUGUCAUUUUGUUAAUUACAGGAGGGAAUGAAAUGGCCAGAGGGCUGCACUUGAGGUCAGAGACUCCAGUCCUGGCUUUACCACUGGUUCCCAUUUGCUUUCAACAAGUUUUUGUUGCUCGGCUGUGAUGUAUGAGCUUUGAGGAUGAAAAUAUGAAGGAGACAGUCCAGGUCUCAAUGCUUAUGCAGAUGGACCACUGGCCAGUGGUGAGCAGAGGUAGGGGAGGCUUCCUGAAAGCUGCUGGCUGAAAUCUGGAGUCUGUGAUUAAGAGUUAGCUAGGUGGGAGAGUGCCCCCAGGCAAGUAAGAGCACAGAGGAUCUGCAGACAUGGACAUCUAGAGGAUCUUGAAGAGGGUGAGGGAAAGGGAUUGUAGAAAUAAACCAUGGUGGGGGAUGGGCAUUCAGUCAGGAAGGGUUAUUUAAACCCCGACGGUAAUGCGACCAUUACUGGCUAUGAAACUUUUCACGGUCUUAGAACCUUCUGAGGCCAGUUUGCUCACCACUAAAUCAGGGAACAUCAUCAUACCAAGCCCACAGGAGAAUUAUGGUGGGGAGGGAGAGGUGAUGAGAAAAGUCAGGUUAAAAUGCUUUGUAAAUGUAAAGACAUGUGCAAAUGUUAGUGACAUUUUCCUAACAUGAAUCUGAGGAUCUGUGAGAUGCCACUUACUCUGAAAUUUUGUGCCGGAGCGCCCAUCCUGGCACACUUGAGAUCAUGUGAGAUGCAAAUUCACCAACAUUACUUUCUUUGUGUUCCUUCCAGAGAAAUGAAACAGUAAGUCUAUUCUAAGCUCACAUUAAUAAGCCUACACAUGUGUAUCAGGAAAAUUAAUUUUUAGGGAAAUAUUUCCAUUUCAGGGAGAUGCCCUGAAUAGAAAUGUAGUUAGUAACAAUUCUAAUGAAAGAUAGGAUCACAGUUUAUUGGAUGUGAAUUAAUACAGAGAGCUCCAAGGGCAGUGGCUGGGGUUUUAUGUAACAUCACCGCUGAAUAAUUUCUAUUAAUGAUAAUCUAGUGAAACACCUCAAAGGUGGCUUUUAAGAGUCCAAAAUGAGCAUUUAUUUUUAUGUCUCAUAAGAUCCUCAGAGGAGCCCAUUAAGUGGGCAAUUAAUUAGCAGGCAUAAGCCAGGAGCAGAAGCUGCAGUCAUUUGGGUAACCCAGUCCUAGUUAAUUCAGUAUAUUCCUGACCACGUUGCAAUAAUCAACCCUGAAUCAGUGGGCCACCUCUCCCUUCUCUGUGCCGGUCCCGGCACUUGCCAUGACCUGUGACCUUGAAGAUGCUUCAGCUUGUUUUGGAUGCUUUCUAGAGUAGGAAGAAAGACAGGAUAAAGGGAUGAGUCUUUCCUGCCCACUCACGGUUCAGAGAACUGAAGUUCAGAGAACUCAGCGUUCUACAAGUUUGUAUUAAUUCCCCCUCUACUUCUAAGGAGUUCAUGAGAACCCAACCACUGGGAAUAUACAAGCCUAUAGGAAAUCUUGCAGCUGUGUUUGCAAAGGAGGUGGAAACCUAGUUUGAAAUUAAACUAAAUAGCAAUUAAAUUCUCCUUCAGCUGUGUGAUUCACCCAAUAAAUAGACACUGAGUACUUAUCAUCUGCCAGGUUCUGGAGCUAAAAGCUGAGCAGGACUCAAGGAGCCCAACAUCGGUAUAAAGGGGAAAAGGACAUAGUUUUUAUUGGUAUUAUUUACAUUUGUGUUUCCUUUUUUUUUUUUUUCUUUUUCUUUCUCAAAGACCUGGGAGCAUCUCUUUUUGAAACGUAAUUGUGGAGAAAGAUAGAGAAAUGCAUUUGCAAAUUCAAAAUAAGUCAAUAUGUAGGACAUACCUAUUGGUCAACCCCCCUUUCCUAGUGCCAGAGUCCUCCAGUACCCCCUGCCUUCCCACCCCAGCCUCAAAAAUCCUCUGCCCUCUAGCCCAGUGGAACUGAGUUCAAACCCCUCUCUUUUAUUGCAGUAGCCUUGAAUAAAGUCAGUGAUUCACACUACCUUAGUGUGUACGUAACGUCCUUUUGCUUUGAUCCUGGCUCUUAUCCAGCACUGUGACUUUCAAAGCAGAAAUUUCAUCAGACUGUGUCGAACAGGCCAGAAAGAGGUUAUUCAAGACUGCUGCAACAGGGAGAGAGGUCUGAACUCAGUUGCAUUCAGACAAGGUCAGGAGGGUUUCUGUGGUUGGGGUAAGCAGGUAGAAGGGUACCAGAGGACUUCAGGGGAGGGUCACCAGCGGAAUACAUCCCACAGAUGGAGUUAUUCCAAAUCCAAAGACGUAUUUCUCUGCUAUCUUCCUUGACGACUGUGUUUUAAAGAAAUGGCUUCCGGAUCCUUAAGAAAGACCUUCCUUCCUGGGUUGGAGAACUAGCCAGACACUUCUUGAAAGAUUUACUUGCUAAAGGGGCAGAUAAAGAAUUUAUAGGGACACUUGUCUAAAGUCAUAGUCUGAGAAAGAGAGGUCAGACACCUAGAGUCAGGAAGAAGCUUGUUUUAAGAUGGGUCAAGUUGAGAGAAUCUCAAGGCCGGCUUCGUCACUACUAUAUCUUUACCUGUCUUUCUUCUGGGCCCCUUUGCCAGUGACAGUUUUGGAAGGCUUAUUUUUUAUAUACAUUAAAUUCACAAAGUUCAAAAACAAAAGCAGCAUAAAAUACAUACGAUGAUAGUUUUUCAUCUUUUCCCUGUUUUCUGCCAUCCCUAUUGCCCCGGCCCUACCCUACUGUUACUCCUUUCUUGGGUAUCUUUCCAGUGUUUUUUACAUAUAAAUCCAAGCAAGUAAGAUUAAAUAUUAUCCCUCCCCUUUCUUCCAUAAAAAUCACACAAAGUAUAUUGAUUUUUUUUUUUUUUUUUUACUUUUACCCUCAUUUAGUGAUAUCUCUUAAAGGUCUUUCCAUAGGCGAUGAACUUUUAAAAAAAUGACACAGAGAACAUUCUAAUACAGGGAUCCCAUCAGUGAUAUACGAUGCCAUCAUGGAAAAACUAGGGGCCUCAGAGAGGAGAGAGAGCAGGGUUCUGGAGACUGAAUUCUUCCUCUUGGUCUGUCAUGCCUCACACAGGUGAUUUCUCCUUUCUCAGCCGAAUCUCCUCAUCUGUACGAUAAGGUCCUGAUAAGGUCUUUACAUCUUGUUGUGUCAUUGUGAGUCAACUAAGUCCUAGUAAAAUUAACAGUAGUGGCAGUAGUAACAAUAGUAACAAGAAUAGCAGUGACAAACAUACAGGACUUAUCUUGCACCAGGCGCCAUUGUAUCUUUAUUUAACCAAAACUUUACUGAGUACCUGUUUAUAUGUCACUCACUGUCUUUGGAAAGCCAGGAAUAUAGCAAUGAACAAAGCCCCUAAAAUCCCUGCCCUCGUGAGUUGUAUUCUAGUGUGGGAGACAAUCAACAGAUAACUAUAUAGAGACUAUGUCAAGUGUAAACACGAUGGAGGGAGGCAGGAUCAUAGGGCUGGCAUGUGCUGGGCAGGGGGUCCUGUUUAAUACAGGCUGAACAGAAAAGCCCUCUUUGAUAAGGUGAUACUUGCGCGUAGGUCUUAGGUGAGAUUGUGAACUUUGCAGGUACCUAAGGAAGAGCCUCCGGGCGGAGGGUGCAGCAAGUUCACAGACCCCUGGCAUGAUCCAUGAACAAAAAGGAGUUCAGGUGGAUGGAAUAUAGUGAAGGGGGGGGCGGUGGUGAGUAGUAGGAGAAAAUGUUCUAAGUUAAAAAAUAAUAGAUGGCAAGUAGAACGCUGUGGCAAUCUGUGUGGAGUCCCAUGAGUCAUGUAAAUGCCAUACUUUGGAUUUUAUCCUGAGUGAGAAGAGAAGCAAGCCAGUGCAUGGUUUGAGUAGAAGAGGGCUCUAAUCUCACUCAUAUUUUUAAAAGACCAUUCCAUCUGGGGUGUGAAGAAUAGACUUUAGUGGCCAGGAUAGAAGCAGGGAAAGCCGUUCCAAGGCUUCUGCAGUGGUUCAGGUGAAAGACAAUGGAGCAUGGCUGUACAAGUUGACAUGGUGGGCAGAUUCUGGGUGUAUUCUCGAGAUAGGGCAACAGAAUUUGCUGAUGAGGGAGAGGAAGCGGGAGGUGAGGUUGGCUCUCUGUUUUAGCCUAAGCCACUGGACAGAUGGAAGUCCCAUUGAUGGAGACAGGAGAGGAGGCAUAAGGGAGGGGAGCAGAAACAGAAAUUUGAUUUCAGCCAUAUUAAAAAAUGAACUCAUUUGUGGAAAAUUCCAGCCAUUAAUAAAAGUAGGCAACAGUAUCAUAAACCCCAGGUAAUCAUCACCCUGCUUUACUAAACGUCAUCUGGCCAUAUCUCACGUAUUUCCUCGUGAAGAUGUCAGGAAGCCAGUUGGAUAUACCAACAGAGAAGAGAAACCGGCCUUGAAAUACAAAUGUCAGAUUACUUAGCAUAUGAAUGAUAUAAAAGAAAUGAGAGGAGACAGACUCAUCAGGGAGUAGAGAGAGAAGAGAUGAGCCCAGGCCCAGAGCCCAGGGGCUCCCAUACUUACAGGUCAGAGAAAUGAAGAGGCACCAGCCAAAGAGGAUGAGAACGAGUUCCCAGUGACCUAAGAGGAGAACUCAGGGAGGAGCUUUACCUGUAUAAACCCAUUCAGCUCCCACAGCAGUAUGAUGUCCAGAGAUGACACUAAUUUUCUCAGUCACCCAGCUUAGAAAUAAAUGGUGGAGCCAGGAUUGACAUCUAGGCAGGGUGGCUCCAAAUCCAUACUCAAACAUCUCUUCCUCCCUUCCCCUUACACCACACGGUCACAUGUCCUGCUCCAUUCAUAUCACUGUGCUGGGCUCAGGGACUGGAGGGUGGCGGCAGCUGGGGAGUGGAGGAAGCAUAUUAUAAAAAUAUGCCCAGGCUAAAAGUUAACCAACCACGCAGGACAUGAUGUAUAUGAUAGACCACCAAAUUACCUUGGUCAAUAAUUCAAUACUGCCUAAUAAUAUUAACGAUGAUGAUAAUUGCUAUUUACCGAGCACACAUGUAUGGGUCAGAGACUCUGCCCAGUGCUUCAGGUACUUAUCUUCUUCACUCCUCACAACAAGCUCAUGGAGAUGAGCCAAUGUUAUAUCCAUUCUGCAGAGAAAGACACUGAGGUUACUGAGCUUAGAAAGUGGUGCCGAGGGAUUUGCUCUGUUCCACCAAUGGCUUUGCAGUCACAUUGUUGAGGAGGGAGGGAAGGGCACCCACAGGCUUUGCGAUCAAGUAGUUGGUGGGUUCGAAUCCUAGCUCUCCGCAAUAUGAUCUUCAUUAUUUACCCACCCAGACUGUUCUUUGCCCAUGGAAAUAAUGACGAAAAAAUUAUAUCUUGUCUUUGUGCUAUUUUUCCACUGAAAUACUUGUAAAGACCUAAAUUAAAUUAAUAUUUGUGUGA